rnacentral:rRNA from 1 species
AUUGAACGCUGGCGGAAUGCUUUACACAUGCAAGUCGAACGGCAGCACGGACUUCGGUCUGGUGGCGAGUGGCGAACGGGUGAGUAAUGUAUCGGAACGUGCCCAGUCGAGGGGGAUAACGUAGUGAAAAUUACGCUAAUACCGCAUACGAUCGAUGGAUGAAAGCGGGGGAGCACAAGAACUCGCGCGAUUGGAGCGGCCGAUAUCAGAUUAGGUAGUGGGUGGGGUAAAGGCCCACCAAGCCAACGAUCUGUAGCUGGUCUGAGAGGACGACCAGCCACACUGGAACUGAGACACGGUCCAGACUCCUACGGGAGGCAGCAGUGGGGAAUUUUGGACAAUGGGCGAAAGCCUGAUCCAGCCAUUCCGCGUGCAGGAUGAAGGCCCUCGGGUUGUAAACUGCUUUUGUACAGAACGAAAAGGUUUCUACUAAUACUAGGAGCUCAUGACGGUACUGUAAGAAUAAGCACCGGCUAACUACGUGCCAGCCGCCGCAGUAA